rnacentral:lncRNA from 1 species
AUUGUUAAUGAGUGAAGUUAAGAAUAUUAAACAUCUCCGUCACAGUAACGGUGACGGACGAGUUUGGGUACGUGUUUUAUGCUGGAUCAUGCUUAUAUGUUUGUUUUCGUGAAGGCACGUGAUAAGAACAUUUCAAAAGGCUAAGUUGUUUUAUUUUAUAUUUUUUACUUAAUAACAUGGUAAAAGGUUUUUUACCCUACUUU